AUACUCACCUGGCAGGGGAGAUACCAUGAUUGCGAAGGUGUUUUUCCCAGGGUGAGGCUUAUCCUUUGCACCGUUUUUCAGUGCUUUGAAAUACUGAUUAAUUUAGAA
rnacentral:snRNA from 1 species